GUCCAGACUCCUACGGGAGGCAGCAGUGAGGAAUAUUGGUCAAUGGGCGGAAGCCUGAACCAGCCAAGUCGCGUGAGGGAAGAAGGCCCUGCGGGUCGCAGACCUCUUUGGACGGGGAGCAAGGCCGCCGACGUGUCGGCGGAAGGAGAGUACCCGUAGAACAAGCAUCGGCUAACUCCGUGCCAGCAGCCGCGGUAAUACGGAGGAUGCGAGCGUUAUCCGGAUUUAUUGGGUUUAAAGGGUGCGCAGGCGGCGCGGCAAGCCGGCGGUCAAAUCGCGGGGCUCAACCCCUUUAAGCCGUUGAAACUGGUGAUCUUGAGUGGGCGAGAAGUAUGCGGAAUGCGUGGUGUAGCGGUGAAAUGCAUAGAUAUCACGCAGAACUCCGAUUGCGAAGGCAGCAUACCGGCGCCCGACUGACGCUGAGGCACGAAAGCGUGGGGAUCGAACAGGAUUAGAUACCCGCGUA
rnacentral:rRNA from 1 species